rnacentral:rRNA from 1 species
GAAGAGUUUGAUCAUGGCUCAGAUUGAACGCUGGCGGCAGGCCUAACACAUGCAAGUCGAACGGUAACAGGAAGCAGCUUGCUGCUUUGCUGACGAGUGGCGGACGGGUGAGUAAUGUCUGGGAAACUGCCUGAUGGAGGGGGAUAACUACUGGAAACGGUGGCUAAUACCGCAUAACGUCGCAAGACCAAAGAGGGGGACCUUCGGGCCUCUUGCCAUCAGAUGUGCCCAGAUGGGAUUAGCUUGUUGGUGAGGUAACGGCUCACCAAGGCGACGAUCCCUAGCUGGUCUGAGAGGAUGACCAGCCACACUGGAACUGAGACACGGUCCAGACUCCUACGGGAGGCAGCAGUGGGGAAUAUUGCACAAUGGGCGCAAGCCUGAUGCAGCCAUGCCGCGUGUAUGAAGAAGGCCUUCGGGUUGUAAAGUACUUUCAGCGGGGAGGAAGGUGUUGUGGUUAAUAACCGCAGCAAUUGACGUUACCCGCAGAAGAAGCACCGGCUAACUCCGUGCCAGCAGCCGCGGUAAUACGGAGGGUGCAAGCGUUAAUCGGAAUUACUGGGCGUAAAGCGCACGCAGGCGGUCUGUCAAGUCGGAUGUGAAAUCCCCGGGCUCAACCUGGGAACUGCAUUCGAAACUGGCAGGCUUGAGUCUUGUAGAGGGGGGUAGAAUUCCAGGUGUAGCGGUGAAAUGCGUAGAGAUCUGGAGGAAUACCGGUGGCGAAGGCGGCCCCCUGGACAAAGACUGACGCUCAGGUGCGAAAGCGUGGGGAGCAAACAGGAUUAGAUACCCUGGUAGUCCACGCCGUAAACGAUGUCUACUUGGAGGUUGUGCCCUUGAGGCGUGGCUUCCGGAGCUAACGCGUUAAGUAGACCGCCUGGGGAGUACGGCCGCAAGGUUAAAACUCAAAUGAAUUGACGGGGGCCCGCACAAGCGGUGGAGCAUGUGGUUUAAUUCGAUGCAACGCGAAGAACCUUACCUGGUCUUGACAUCCACGGAAGAAUUCAGAGAUGGAUUUGUGCCUUCGGGAACCGUGAGACAGGUGCUGCAUGGCUGUCGUCAGCUCGUGUUGUGAAAUGUUGGGUUAAGUCCCGCAACGAGCGCAACCCUUAUCCUUUGUUGCCAGCGGUCCGGCCGGGAACUCAAAGGAGACUGCCAGUGAUAAACUGGAGGAAGGUGGGGAUGACGUCAAGUCAUCAUGGCCCUUACGACCAGGGCUACACACGUGCUACAAUGGCGCAUACAAAGAGAAGCGACCUCGCGAGAGCAAGCGGACCUCAUAAAGUGCGUCGUAGUCCGGAUUGGAGUCUGCAACUCGACUCCAUGAAGUCGGAAUCGCUAGUAAUCGUGGAUCAGAAUGCCACGGUGAAUACGUUCCCGGGCCUUGUACACACCGCCCGUCACACCAUGGGAGUGGGUUGCAAAAGAAGUAGGUAGCUUAACCUUCGGGAGGGCGCUUACCACUUUGUGAUUCAUGACUGGGGUGAAGUCGUAACAAGGUAACCGUAGGGGAACCUGCGGUUGGAUCACCUCCUUA